rnacentral:miRNA from 2 species
UGCAGUCCGUGGGCAUAUACAC